rnacentral:lncRNA from 1 species
GACACUUCAAGGAACUCUAGGAAAAGAAAGUUGUAACACAAUUAUAGAAGCAACAAGUUUAAUACUCACAUGAAGAGUAUGUGUGUUUGUAUUUUAUGCUAAGUAAGAUGCAAUUAGCUAACUAGUAACGUAAUGGAACAAAAAUACAAUGAAUGAAAGAAACUUAGAGUGCAAGAAAGACAAUUCUGGACAUGAUGUGAUAGAUUUGACUUAAUCCCUAAGGAGAAAAAC